rnacentral:rRNA from 1 species
GAUGAACGCUGGCGGCGUGCUUAACACAUGCAAGUCGAGCGGAGACAUCGUUUUCGGAUGAUGUCUUAGUGGCGGACGGGUGAGUAACGCGUGAGGAACCUGCCUCUCAGUGGGGAAUAACGGUCGGAAACGACCGCUAAUACCGCAUAACGCAUUUGGAUCGCAUGGUCUAGAAUGCCAAAGAUUUUAUCGCUGAGAGAUGGCCUCGCGUCUGAUUAGCUAGUUGGUAGGUAACGGCCUACCAAGGCGACGAUCAGUAGCCGGACUGAGAGGUUGGCCGGCCACAUUGGGACUGAGACACGGCCCAG